AACCUACGGGGGGCAGCAGUGGGGAAUAUUGGACAAUGGGGGGAACCCUGAUCCAGCGACGCCGCGUGAGUGAAGAAGUAUUUCGGUAUGUAAGGCUCUAUCAGCAGGGAAGAAAAUGACGGUACCUGACUAAGAAGCCCCGGCUAUCUACGUGCCAGCAGCCGCGGUAAUACGUAGGGGGCAAGCGUUAUCCGGAUUUACUGGGUGUAAAGGGAGCGUAGACGGUGCAGCAAGUCUGAUGUGAAAGGUCGGGGCCCAACCCCGGGACUGCAUUGGAAACUGUACAGCUAGAGUGCAGGAGGGGG
rnacentral:rRNA from 1 species